CUCAAACUUUUAGAUUUCCAUAUUAUGCCAUUAAACUCUAAACCAUAAACCCUAAACAAAGCCCUAAACCUUAAAAACCCUAAAACCUAAACACUGAACCCUGGCAUUCCUGGCUAAAGACUUUUCUUUUAUUAUUCGGUACUCAGAGAUUUUAAGGUCAAAACUUUAUUGCUUUAUAUUUCUAAUUAUUUUUAUUUAUAAAGUUAAAAAAAAUGAACGUAGCGGGGUUAUUUACUAUCGUUCUAUCUCUCUCAAAAAAAAAAACAAAAAAAUAUAAAAUAUGGCGAAAAAAAAAAAAAAGAAAAACAUUAUAUCUUCUCUAAUAAGUAUCACACAUAUUAUUUUAAUAACUGAUAAUUUCAUAUGGAAUAUGCAUCAUGUCAAUUGCAUUAAUCAGAAAAUGUAAUUAACAUUAGCCGGGAUGUGUAAAAAAAAGGGAAAAAAAUUUGUUUAUAUACUAUUACAUAAGAAGGUAAUAUUUUGUGCCGUGUUCAUUUUUGCUUAUAUUACCAACUACACAUUUUUAUUUUUGCAAAACCAAAAAUUAAAUAAAAAAAUAAAAAUAAAAAUUUCUGUUAAAC
rnacentral:lncRNA from 1 species